rnacentral:lncRNA from 1 species
AUGGGGCUCCGGGCAAAGGAAGAAACGAAACUUGUAAUUAGGCGCAUAUUUCCCGGAUUUUGCUUGGAAUGGCAGUCCUGUUUUCCACCUGGCCAGAUCCUUCAAGCCUGGCUUAAUUGCCGCCUCUUCCAUGAGGCUUUUACCUGUCAGGAAGACUGGAGCCAGGCAGGUCCUCCACGCCCGCCUCUUCUUCCUCCCAUCUGUUCCAUCAAAGGUUCAGGGGGCCCACCAGGACCGCCUCGUCUUCCUCCGCCAAAGCCACCUCGGUCCAUGCCCCGGCCACCACGGAAGCCCCCUCUGUCUCCACCGCGGCCACCUCUGAACAUCCCACCGGGACCACCGCGGUCCAUGAGGCCACCUCUUCCUCCCCGCAGGCCACCAGGGCCGCCUCUGCCACCGUCACCGCCCGGGGGCGGGAAGGGUGGUGGAAGGAAGCCUUCGGGCUUCGGGGCCUUACACUGGUUGCAUUAUGUUCUCCAGGUGAAGUUCCGGUUUCCACACCCCGAAUUGGGGCACUGCCAGUCCCCAGCUCGGAGCUGGACAUUUCCUCCUCCGGAUGGGUUCCCUCGGGAACCCCGGGGUCCUCUUGGCGGAAAGCCACCUCUGUCUCCUCCACGGCCUCCCAUGCGACCCAUGGGGCCCCCUGGACCUCCAUGGAGUGGUGGUGGCAUCCCUCUGCCCUCAUGGGGAGGCAUACCACCCCGCAUGCUGUUCAUCGGAGGUUUCUUCCGAGCAAGAGAAACCUUAAGUUUGCUUCCUUGAAAAUCUUUCCCAGCAAACCACUCCACAGCAGCCUUAGCAGUUGGUGGGUGUUCAUAGGAUACUGUAGCAUCACCUUUGGGCUUUUCUAUUUCCUUGUCCAAGUAGGUAUGGAUCAUGGGUUGUCCGAUUCUCUUGUUCAUCUUAACAACUCCACACUGCUUAAAGAAGUCAGCCAGAUCAUCUAGAGUCACAUUGUCAUUUAAGCCUUGCACAUAAAUUACACUGUUGUCAGAGUCUUCAUCUGGAUCUACAGGUGGGCCUAGAUCAAGAUCUGGUCCUUCAUCCAUGGGUCCACCAGGCUUAUUGAAGCCACCUCAGCUCUCCAGUGCUGCCCAUUCCACCGUGUCCUCCUCCCCGCCCACCUCUGCUCAUGCCUCCAGAUCAAAUCCCCCUCUUCCCCUGCCCCGGUUAUCAGGGCCACUCAUGCUCCAGUUCUCUCCUGGUCCAGAAAAUCUUCCAGACUCCUGCCCAUAAACACCCAUGCUACUGGGGUGGUCCUGUCGGAAUGAACUCUGCUGCCCGUAGCUGCUGCUCUGUUGGCUAUAUUGACUUGGAGCCUGGCUGUAGUAUCCAGUUUGGGGGGGAUAACUAGUGGGCGGCUGCUGUCCAUAGCUGCUUUGUUGACCAUAGCUACUCUGCUGUCCAUAGCUGCUCAGCUGCCCAUAGGUGUUCUGCUGAGAGUAACUGCUCUGAUCAUAACUAGUCGGCUGUGUAGAGGAGUAGCUGGUAGGAGGAUAAGAUGGUGGUGCUGUGACUGGCUGCAUGGGGUAGCUCCCAGGUACCUGGGGAUAACUGUAGUUACUCUGUCCAUAUCCUAGGCUGGGCUGGUUGUAACCCCCUGUGCUAGAUUGAGGUUGACUAGUCUCAGCGGGUUUGUUACCAUCCUGUGGUCUUGCAGGUGCAGUGGCUGCUGGCUGCUGCCCAUAGGCUGGGUAAGCAGGCUGAGUGCCAUAUGCAGACUGAGCUGCAUAGGAGGCCUGGGUGGUAGUGACCGUAGCAGUGGUGGUAUCAUAAGCACCAGUGCCAUACCCCUGGACAGGCUGACUGUAUGCCUGGGGGGGCAAUUGGAGUAGUAUAACCAGCGGGAGGCUGUCCAUAAGAAGUUGCAUAGGCGGUCUGCCCAUAGGUUGCAGUGGUCUGAGCCUGGGUAUAGCUGACAUCAGUGGGCUGUCCAUAGGUUCCAUAACUCUGCUGCCCAUAUGCCUGGGUGGUCUGUGCAUAUCCUUGAGUUGGUUGGGCGGUGUAUGCCCUGUAGCCCUGCUGGGCUGCAGCUUGGCUGUAGGUACUGUAAUCCGUGGACACCAUUUUCUCUCCUUCCCUCUCAUUCUCUCAACAUCCGUCUCCCUCUUGCUCGCUGUGUGACUUUCAAUAAGUCCUCUGCCUGUUUUCCCUAUCUGUAAGAUUCCUACAAUGACCUCAGCCACAUAAAACACUUAGAACAGUACAUAGGAAUUGAUAUGUCCUUCCUCCAAUUGACAACCAAAGCACUUUCAUAUAGACACUUCUCUCAUGUAGACACUUCCACUCUGUUGCAGAAAAUUGUCUCCAAAAUCCAUACCAUAUCCAUUGCUCUUAACUGGCAUGGACCUCCUUAAAUUCAAGCAUUUGUCUUAUCUCUGAAUCCUCUAAGGGCCUACCAUAGGACUUGGUGCAUAGUAGGGGUUGAGCAAAUAAGCAUACAUUUUAAAUUACAUCCAAUAUAUUUAUUUAGCAUUUACAACGUGCUGUUAGUUGCUAGGAAUACACUGGUAAGAACAGUUGUGAUCCUUCUUCCCUGAAAAUAAUAAGUAAAGACCCUGAAAAAAAGGGGUAGUGCUGUGAAGGAAUGGAACAAAGUUCUGUAGGAUCAUGCAACAGAAGAAACUGACCUAGCCUGGGAACAAUAGGAAAGGCUUUCUUGAAGAAACAAGACAAGCUGAGCUCUGAAGAAGGAGUAGAGGUUAGUAAGGUAAGGGGGACAAAAUUUUCCUGAGAGAACAGCAUGUGGUAAGACCCUGUGGCGGGAGGGAAUUUGCUAUCUGACAUUGAGGAAAGGAAAGGAGCUCAUGAUGGUUGGAGGGGAGUGGUAUGAGGUAGGGCUACAAGGUAGACAGAGACCACAUCAAGUCAGCUGUGUUAAAGAUACUGAACUUUUGGGACACCUGGGUGGCUCAGCGAUUGAGUGUCUGCCUUUGGCUCAGGGUGUAAUCCCCGGGUCCUGGGAUUGAGUCC